rnacentral:rRNA from 1 species
CAAUAGCGUAUAUUAAAGUUGUUGCGGUUAAAAAGCUCGUAGUUGGAUUUCUGUCGAGGACGACCGGUCCGCCCUCCGGGUGAGUAUCUGGCUUGGCCUGGGCAUCUUCUUGGAGAACGUGUCUGCACUUGACUGUGUGGUGCGGUAUCCAGGACUUUUACUUUGAGGAAAUUAGAGUGUUUCAAGCAGGCAUGCGCCUUGAAUACAUUAGCAUGGAAUAAUAAGAUAGGACCUCGGUUCUAUUUUGUUGGUUUCUAGAGCUGAGGUAAUGAUUAAUAGGGAUAGUUGGGGGCAUUCGUAUUUAACUGUCAGAGGUGAAAUUCUUGGAUUUAUGAAAGACGAACUACUGCGAAAGCAUUUGCCAAGGAUGUUUUCAUUAA